rnacentral:rRNA from 1 species
UACGUAGGGUGCGAGCGUUUGUCCGGAAUUAUUGGGCGUAAAGGGCUCGUAGGCGGUUUUGUCGCGUCGGGGAGUGAAAACUCAGGGCUUAACCCUGAGCCUGCUCCCGAUACGGGCAGACUAGAGGUAUGCAGGGGAGAACGGAAUUCCUGGUGUAGCGGUGAAAUGCGCAGAUAUCAGGAGGAACACCGGUGGCGAAGGCGGGUCUCUGGGCAGUAACUGACGCUGAGGAGCGAAAGCGUGGGUAGCAAACAGG